UACGUAGGGGGCCAGCGUUGUUCGGAAUUACUGGGUGUAAAGGGUUCGUAGGCGGUGUGGCAAGUUGGGAGUGAAAUCUCUGGGCUCAACCCAGAGACGGCUUCCAAAACUGCCGUGCUUGAGUGUGGGAGAGGCUCGUGGAAUUGCAGGUGUAGCGGUGAAAUGCGCAGAUAUCAGGAGGAACACCGGUGGCGAAGGCGGGUCUCUGGGCCGGAACUGACGCUAAGGAGCGAAAGCGUGGGGAGCGAACAGG
rnacentral:rRNA from 1 species